GGUCAAGUGAAGAAGCGCAUACGGUGGAUGCCUUGGCAGUCAGAGGCGAUGAAAGACGUGGUAGCCUGCGAAAAGCUUCGGGGAGUCGGCAAACAGACUGUGAUCCGGAGAUGUCUGAAUGGGGGAACCCAGCCAUCACAAGAUGGUUAUCUUACACUGAAUACAUAGGUGUAAGAGGCGAACCAGGGGAACUGAAACAUCUAAGUACCCUGAGGAAAAGAAAUCAACCGAGAUUCCCUUAGUAGUGGCGAGCGAACGGGGACCAGCCCUUAAGUUGUAUUGAGAUUAGCGGAACGCUCUGGAAAGUGCGGCCAUAGUGGGUGAUAGCCCUGUACGCGAAAAUCCCUUUGCAAUGAAAUCGAGUAGGACGGGGCACGAGAAACCUUGUCUGAAUAUGGGGGGACCAUCCUCCAAGGCUAAAUACUACUGACUGACCGAUAGUGAACCAGUACCGUGAGGGAAAGGCGAAAAGAACCGCGGAGAGCGGAGUGAAAUAGAUCCUGAAACCGUAUGCGUACAAGCAGUGGGAGCCCACUUUGUUGGGUGACUGCGUACCUUUUGUAUAAUGGGUCAGCGACUUAUUUUCAGUGGCGAGCUUAACCGAAUAGGGGAGGCGUAGCGAAAGCGAGUCUUAAUAGGGCGUCUAGUCGCUGGGAAUAGACCCGAAACCGGGCGAUCUAUCCAUGGGCAGGUUGAAGGUUGGGUAACACUAACUGGAGGACCGAACCGACUACCGUUGAAAAGUUAGCGGAUGACCUGUGGAUCGGAGUGAAAGGCUAAUCAAGCUCGGAGAUAGCUGGUUCUCCUCGAAAGCUAUUUAGGUAGCGCCUCAUGUAUCACUGUAGGGGGUAGAGCACUGUUUCGGCUAGGGGGUCAUCCCGACUUACCAAACCGAUGCAAACUCCGAAUACCUACAAGUGCCGAGCAUGGGAGACACACGGCGGGUGCUAACGUCCGUCGUGAAAAGGGAAACAACCCAGACCGUCAGCUAAGGUCCCAAAGUCAUGGUUAAGUGGGAAACGAUGUGGGAAGGCUUAGACAGCUAGGAGGUUGGCUUAGAAGCAGCCACCCUUUAAAGAAAGCGUAAUAGCUCACUAGUCGAGUCGGCCUGCGCGGAAGAUGUAACGGGGCUCAAACCAUGCACCGAAGCUACGGGUAUCAUCUUAUGAUGAUGCGGUAGAGGAGCGUUCUGUAAGCCUGUGAAGGUGAGUUGAGAAGCUUGCUGGAGGUAUCAGAAGUGCGAAUGCUGACAUGAGUAACGACAAUGGGUGUGAAAAACACCCACGCCGAAAGACCAAGGUUUCCUGCGCAACGUUAAUCGACGCAGGGUUAGUCGGUCCCUAAGGCGAGGCUGAAAAGCGUAGUCGAUGGAAAACAGGUUAAUAUUCCUGUACUUCUGGUUAUUGCGAUGGAGGGACGGAGAAGGCUAGGCCAGCCUGGCGUUGGUAGUCCAGGUUUAAGGUGGUAGGCUGAGAUCUUAGGUAAAUCCGGGAUCUUAAGGCCGAGAGCUGAUGACGAGUGUUCUUUUAGAACAUGAAGUGGUUGAUGCCAUGCUUCCAAGAAAAGCUUCUAAGCUUCAGGUAACCAGGAACCGUACCCCAAACCGACACAGGUGGUUGGGUAGAGAAUACCAAGGCGCUUGAGAGAACUCGGGUGAAGGAACUAGGCAAAAUGGCACCGUAACUUCGGGAGAAGGUGCGCCGGUGAGGGUGAAGCAUUUACUGCGUAAGCCCACGCCGGUCGAAGAUACCAGGCCGCUGCGACUGUUUAUUAAAAACACAGCACUCUGCAAACACGAAAGUGGACGUAUAGGGUGUGACGCCUGCCCGGUGCCGGAAGGUUAAUUGAUGGGGUUAGCGCAAGCGAAGCUCUUGAUCGAAGCCCCGGUAAACGGCGGCCGUAACUAUAACGGUCCUAAGGUAGCGAAAUUCCUUGUCGGGUAAGUUCCGACCUGCACGAAUGGCGUAACGAUGGCGGCGCUGUCUCCACCCGAGACUCAGUGAAAUUGAAAUCGCUGUGAAGAUGCAGUGUAUCCGCGGCUAGACGGAAAGACCCCGUGAACCUUUACUAUAGCUUUGCACUGGACUUUGAAUUUGCUUGUGUAGGAUAGGUGGGAGGCUUUGAAGCGUGGACGCCAGUCUGCGUGGAGCCAACCUUGAAAUACCACCCUGGCAACUUUGAGGUUCUAACUCAGGUCCGUUAUCCGGAUCGAGGACAGUGUAUGGUGGGUAGUUUGACUGGGGCGGUCUCCUCCUAAAGAGUAACGGAGGAGUACGAAGGUGCGCUCAGACCGGUCGGAAAUCGGUCGUAGAGUAUAAAGGCAAAAGCGCGCUUGACUGCGAGACAGACACGUCGAGCAGGUACGAAAGUAGGUCUUAGUGAUCCGGUGGUUCUGUAUGGAAGGGCCAUCGCUCAACGGAUAAAAGGUACUCCGGGGAUAACAGGCUGAUACCGCCCAAGAGUUCAUAUCGACGGCGGUGUUUGGCACCUCGAUGUCGGCUCAUCACAUCCUGGGGCUGAAGCCGGUCCCAAGGGUAUGGCUGUUCGCCAUUUAAAGUGGUACGCGAGCUGGGUUUAGAACGUCGUGAGACAGUUCGGUCCCUAUCUGCCGUGGACGUUUGAGAUUUGAGAGGGGCUGCUCCUAGUACGAGAGGACCGGAGUGGACGAACCUCUGGUGUUCCGGUUGUCACGCCAGUGGCAUUGCCGGGUAGCUAUGUUCGGAAAAGAUAACCGCUGAAAGCAUCUAAGCGGGAAACUUGCCUCAAGAUGAGAUCUCACUGGAACCUUGAGUUCCCUGAAGGGCCGUCGAAGACUACGACGUUGAUAGGUUGGGUGUGUAAGCGCUGUGAGGCGUUGAGCUAACCAAUACUAAUUGCCCGUGAGGCUUGACCAUAUAACACCCA
rnacentral:rRNA from 1 species